rnacentral:rRNA from 1 species
UAGGAUUCCCUUAGUAGCUGCGAGCGAACAGGGAAAAGCCCAGCACCGAAUCCCGCGGUCGAUAUCGGGCGCCGGGAAAUGUGGUGUUAGGGAGGAUCCGUUUAUCCCGAGGUCGUGCGGCGAGUCCAAGUCCUUCUUGAACGGGGCCACAGCCCAUAGAGGGUGCCAGGCCCGUAGUGGCCGCUGCCGAUCGCGGGAGGAUCUCUCCUCAGAGUCGGGUUGCUUGAGAGUGCAGCCCUAAGCGGGUGGUAAACUCCAUCUAAGGCUAAAUAUGACCACGAGACCGAUAGCGAACAAGUACCGUGAGGGAAAGUUGAAAAGCACUUUGAAGAGAGAGUUCAAGAGUACGUGAAACCGUUCAGGGGUAAACCUGAGAAACCCGAAAGGUCGAAAGGGGAAAUUCAUUCGCGUUUCGGCUGUCGGCGAUGAGCGGUCGCGCGACGGACGGCGUUCGCGUCGUCCGCGCCUUCCGUUUUUCGAACCGUCGUCGAACGCGUGCACUUUUCCCCUAGUAGGACGUCGCGAUCCGUUGGGUGUCGGUCUACGGCUCGCGGUGGAGUCCGUGCGCGAUCGUUUCGGCGAUUCGCGCACGAACCCGCGAUGUUCCGGCCGGCUCGCUCGACGGUAUACAGAUGGCGCGAGGCCGCUAUAUAAAUUAGCGUCCGACCCGCGACAAGCACGUUCGACGCUAAGGCGGCGAUCGGACCUAGUGCCGAUUCCGUCACCGGACGACUGUUGGUCGCGCGGAUAUCUCGGACAGACCUCGAUUGAAACGCCGAUCUGCGACGCUAUAGCUUUGGGUAAUUUCAGGACCCGUCUUGAAACACGGACCAAGGAGUCUAGCAUGUGCGCGAGUCAUUGGGACAUAACUAAACCUAAAGGCGCAAUGAAAGUAAAGAUCCGCCUAGCGCGGAUUUAGGGAAGAUGGGCGGUUCGCCCAAAAGGCGGCCGCUCCGCAUUCCCGGGGCGUCUCGUUCUCAUUACGAGAAGAGGCGCACCAAGAGCGUACACGCUGGGACCCGAAAGAUGGUGAACUAUGCCUGGUCAGGACGAAGUCAGGGGAAACCCUGAUGGAGGUCCGUAGCGAUUCUGACGUGCAAAUCGAUCGUCGGAACUGGGUAUAGGGGCGAAAGACUAAUCGAACCAUCUAGUAGCUGGUUCCCUCCGAAGUUUCCCUCAGGAUAGCUGGCGCUCGUCUGUGACGAGUUUCAUCCGGUAAAGCGAAUGAUUAGAGGCAUUGGGGUCGAAACGACCUCAACCUAUUCUCAAACUUUAAAUGGGUGAGAUCUCCGGCUUGCUCGAACUAAUGAAGCUGCGAGAAUCGAAUCAGAG